GCCCGACCAUCCUCACCGACAGACGCUUCUCGGCAUAACGCUCAAGACUUUGGCGAAAGUGCCAUUUCGCGAGUUUGCCACUUCGCAAAGUGCCCAUUAACCGUCGCGAGAAGCUCGAGAUUUGUCCUUUCUACGGUUAUCGGGGGUAUUUUCGAAAUGUGAAGUGGACACGGAGAACUUUUGUGAAAUUUCCGUAAGAUCUUGAGGUUUUUCAAUUUUUUUUAUUCGGUUUCUACUUUCGAGCCGGUGGAUUUCAUUUAUGUGGUAAAAUGUCCAUGUGCUCCCUGAUGCCGGUGUCGCUGCAGGAUAUUUUGACAAUUUUGCGAAUCUACUAACGGAGCGUUUUUGCAUCAAUAUUUUUCCACGCUGUAUAAACGUCCAGGAAUAACACAUGCAAAAAAUGUAUGAAG